AGAGUUUGAUCCUGGCUCAGAACGAACGCUGGCGGCAGGCUUAACACAUGCAAGUCGAACGCCCCGCAAGGGGAGUGGCAGACGGGUGAGUAACACGUGGGAACAUGCCCUAAGGUACGGAACAACUCCGGGAAACUGGAGCUAAUACCGUAUGUGCCCGAGAGGGGAAAGAUUUAUCGCCUUGGGAUUGGCCCGCGUCUGAUUAGCUAGUUGGUAGGGUAAUGGCCUACCAAGGCUACGAUCAGUAGCUGGUCUGAGAGGAUGGCCAGCCACACUGGGACUGAGACACGGCCCAGACUCCUACGGGAGGCAGCAGUGGGGAAUACUGGACAAUGGGCGAAAGCCUGAUCCAGCCAUGCCGCGUGAGUGAUGAAGGCCUUAGGGUUGUAAAGCUCUUUCGCCAGGGACGAUAAUGACGGUACCUGGAUAAGAAGCCCCGGCUAACUUCGUGCCAGCAGCCGCGGUA
rnacentral:rRNA from 1 species